rnacentral:misc_RNA from 1 species
AAAUGGCCAGUUUUGGUUUGAGAAAAGGAUUGAAGUGUCAAAUUCUCCACAAGAAAUUUGUUGUUUUGACAAAAGAAAUUGCAAGAUGCCCAAUAUGCAACUGUGUGAUUACUUAUGGUACAGACGGUUGGGGUAAACUAACAAAAUUAGUAUUGUUAUUUUUAUGUGAUGGAGUUGUAAGAAAAUUAGAAAACACAAUAGAGU